rnacentral:rRNA from 1 species
UACGUAGGUGGCUAGCGUUGUCCGGAUUUACUGGGCGUAAAGCGCGCGCAGGCGGUCGUUCAAGUCGAGUGUGAAAGCCCCCGGCUCAACUGGGGAGGGUCACUCGAUACUGAUCGACUUGAAGGCAGAAGAGGGAAGCGGAAUUCCCGGUGUAGUGGUGAAAUGCGUAGAUAUCGGGAGGAACACCAGUGGCGAAGGCGGCUUUCUGGUCUGUUCUUGACGCUGAGGAGCGAAAGCGUGGGUAGCAAACAGG